UACGGAGGGCGCGAGCGUUGUCCGGAAUCACUGGGCGUAAAGGGCGCGUAGGCGGCCCUGGUAAGUCCGCUGUGAAAGUCGGGGGCUCAACCCUCGAAUGCCGGUGGAUACUGUCGGGCUAGAGUGCGGAGGAGGCGAGUGGAAUUCCUGGUGUAGCGGUGAAAUGCGCAGAUAUCAGGAGGAACACCUAUUGCGAAGGCAGCUCGCUGGGACGUAACUGACGCUGAGACGCGAAAGCGUGGGGAGCAAACAGG
rnacentral:rRNA from 1 species